GUGAAACUCCAUUUUGCUCCACAUUGAAGACGCCAACAAGCGCAGAAAAUGCUGGUGUUCUGCUUUGCUUGUGAUUGCUCUAAUCGAUCAAACCAAGGAAUUACGAGACGUUUUUGUCGAGUAUUACCAAAAGCUGCUGUUUAUGAAGGGGGAAAUGCAAGAAAGCGCCGUCAAAUAUAACUUCACCUGCCAUUGGGAAGAGCGAAGUUGGAUAAUGCAAGGUGUCACCACUUUGUCCAUGACAUUGUCCAUGAUUGCAGAGACAUGGUCCAUGAUUGGAGAGACAUUGUUGAGGAUGAGGGAGACAUCGUCCACGAUCAGAGACGUUGUCCAUCGUCGCAGCGACCUUGUCAAAGAUGAGAGAGACGUUGUCCAUGAUCAGAGACAUUGUCCCAUGCUUCGCAGAGCUCUGCGCAAGAAUUGGUAGUGACACUGUGGUUCCUCGAUUCGACGGCAUGACCGCGAUCAUGGAGACAUUUGUCGAUGAUCACAGAGACACCGUCUAUGAUCUCAGAGACAUCGUCCACGAUCACCAAGACAUUGUCGAUGAUCGCAGAGACUUUGUCCAUAAUCUCAGAGACAUUGUCCGCGAUCACAGAGACGUAGUCCACGAUCUCAGAGAGUCUUUGUACAAUGAAGAAGUUCUGUGAGACAAGGACAGAGGCCUCCAGGUGUCACCACUUCGUCCACAAUCGCAAAGACAUGGUCCAUGAUCGGAGAGACAUUGUUGAGGAUGAGGGAGACAUCGUCCACGAUCGGAGACAUUGUCCAUGACUCGUGGUGACUCGGUCCCCGAUUAGUCGGCAUUGCCGGCGUUCAGAGACAUUGUCGAUGAUCGCAGAGACUUUGUCCAUAAUCUCAGAGACAUUGUCCACGAUCAGAGAGACGUAGUCCACAAUCUCAGAGACGUCCACGAUCACAGAGACAUGGUCCAUGAUCGGAGAGACAUUGUUGAGGAUGAGGGAGACAUCGUCCACGAUCAGAGACGUUGUCUGUGAUCGCAGAGACCUUGUCAAAGAUGAAAGAGACGUUGUCCAUGAUCAGAGACAUUGUCGCUGCUUCGCAGAGCUCUGUACAAGAAUCGGUAGUGACACUGUGGUUCCUCGAUUCGACGGCAUGACCGCGAUCAGCUGGCAUUGUUAAUGGUCACAGAGAAACAGUCUAUCAUCUUAGAGACAUCGUCCACAAUCACAGACACAUUGUCAAUGAUCGCAGAGACUUUGUCUAUAAUCUCAGAGACAUUGUCCGCGAUUACAGAGACGUAGUCCACGAUCACAGAGAGUCUUUGUACAAUGAAGAAGUUCUGUGAGACCAGGACAGAGGCCUCCAGGUGUCACCACUUUGUCCAUGACAUCGUCCAUGAUAGCAGAGACAUGGUCCAUGAUCGGAGAGACAUUGUUGAGGAUGAGGGAGACAUCGUCCACGAUCGGAGACAUUGUCCAUGACUCGUGGUGACUCGGUCCCCGAUUAGUCGGCAUUGCUGGCGUUCAGAGACAUUGUCGAUGAUCGCAGAGACUUUGUCCAUAAUCUCAGAGACAUUGUCCGCGAUCACAGAGACGUAGUCCACGAUCUCAGAGAGUCUUUGUACAAUGAAGAAGUUCUGUGAGACAAGGACAGAGGCCUCCAGGUGUCACCACUUCGUCCACAAUCGCAAAGACAUGGUCCAUGAUCGGAGAGACAUUGUUGAGGAUGAGGGAGACAUCGUCCAUGAUCGGAGACAUUGUCCAUGACUCGUGGUGACUCGGUCCCCGAUUAGUCGGCAUUGCUGGCGUUCAGAGACAUUGUCAAUGAUCGCAGAGACUUUGUCCAUAAUCUCAGAGACAUUGUCCGCGAUCAGAGAGACGUAGUCCACGAUCUCAGAGACGUCCACGAUCACAGAGACAUGGUCCAUGAUCGGAGAGACAUUGUUGAGGAUGAGGGAGACAUCGUCCACGAUCAGAGACGUUGUCUGUGAUCGCAGAGACCUUGUCAAAGAUGAAAGAGACGUUGUCCAUGAUCAGAGACAUUGUCGCUGCUUCGCAGAGCUCUGUACAAGAAUCGGUAGUGACACUGUGGUUCCUCGAUUCGACGGCAUGACCGCGAUCAGCUGGCAUUGUUAAUGGUCACAGAGAAACAGUCUAUCAUCAGAGACUUGGUCCACGAUCACAGACACAUUGUCAAUGAUUUGCAGAGACUUUGUCUAUAAUCUCAGAGACAUUGUCCGCGAUUACAGAGACGUAGUCCACGAUCACAGAGAGUCUUUGUACAAUGAAGAAGCUCUGUGAGACCAGGACGGAGGCCUCCAGGUGUCACCACUUUGUCCAUGACAUCGUCCAUGAUUGCAGAGACAUGGUCCAUGAUCGGAGAGACAUUGUUGAGGAUGAGGGAGACAUCGUCCACGAUCGGAGACAUUGUCCAUGACUCGUGGUGACUCGGUCCCCGAUUAGUCGGCAUUGCUGGCGUUCAGAGACAUUGUCGAUGAUCGCAGAGACUUUGUCCAUAAUCUCAGAGACAUUGUCCGCGAUCACAGAGACGUAGUCCACGAUCUCAGAGAGUCUUUGUACAAUGAAGAAGUUCUGUGAGACAAGGACAGAGGCCUCCAGGUGUCACCACUUCGUCCACAAUCGCAAAGACAUGGUCCAUGAUCGGAGAGACAUUGUUGAGGAUGAGGGAGACAUCGUCCACGAUCGGAGACAUUGUCCAUGACUCGUGGUGACUCGGUCCCCGAUUAGUCGGCAUUGCCGGCGUUCAGAGACAUUGUCGAUGAUCGCAGAGACUUUGUCCAUAAUCUCAGAGACAUUGUCCACGAUCAGAGAGACGUAGUCCACAAUCUCAGAGACGUCCACGAUCACAGAGACAUGGUCCAUGAUCGGAGAGACAUUGUUGAGGAUGAGGGAGACAUCGUCCACGAUCAGAGACGUUGUCUGUGAUCGCAGAGACCUUGUCAAAGAUGAAAGAGACGUUGUCCAUGAUCAGAGACAUUGUCGCUGCUUCGCAGAGCUCUGUACAAGAAUCGGUAGUGACACUGUGGUUCCUCGAUUCGACGGCAUGACCGCGAUCAGCUGGCAUUGUUAAUGGUCACAGAGAAACAGUCUAUCAUCUUAGAGACAUCGUCCACAAUCACAGACACAUUGUCAAUGAUCGCAGAGACUUUGUCUAUAAUCUCAGAGACAUUGUCCGCGAUUACAGAGACGUAGUCCACGAUCACAGAGAGUCUUUGUACAAUGAAGAAGUUCUGUGAGACCAGGACAGAGGCCUCCAGGUGUCACCACUUUGUCCAUGACAUCGUCCAUGAUAGCAGAGACAUGGUCCAUGAUCGGAGAGACAUUGUUGAGGAUGAGGGAGACAUCGUCCACGAUCGGAGACAUUGUCCAUGACUCGUGGUGACUCGGUCCCCGAUUAGUCGGCAUUGCUGGCGUUCAGAGACAUUGUCGAUGAUCGCAGAGACUUUGUCCAUAAUCUCAGAGACAUUGUCCGCGAUCACAGAGACGUAGUCCACGAUCUCAGAGAGUCUUUGUACAAUGAAGAAGUUCUGUGAGACAAGGACAGAGGCCUCCAGGUGUCACCACUUCGUCCACAAUCGCAAAGACAUGGUCCAUGAUCGGAGAGACAUUGUUGAGGAUGAGGGAGACAUCGUCCAUGAUCGGAGACAUUGUCCAUGACUCGUGGUGACUCGGUCCCCGAUUAGUCGGCAUUGCUGGCGUUCAGAGACAUUGUCAAUGAUCGCAGAGACUUUGUCCAUAAUCUCAGAGACAUUGUCCACGAUCAGAGAGACGUAGUCCACGAUCUCAGAGACGUCCACGAUCACAGAGACAUGGUCCAUGAUCGGAGAGACAUUGUUGAGGAUGAGGGAGACAUCGUCCACGAUCAGAGACGUUGUCUGUGAUCGCAGAGACCUUGUCAAAGAUGAAAGAGACGUUGUCCAUGAUCAGAGACAUUGUCGCUGCUUCGCAGAGCUCUGUACAAGAAUCGGUAGUGACACUGUGGUUCCUCGAUUCGACGGCAUGACCGCGAUCAGCUGGCAUUGUUAAUGGUCACAGAGAAACAGUCUAUCAUCAGAGACUUGGUCCACGAUCACAGACACAUUGUCAAUGAUUUGCAGAGACUUUGUCUAUAAUCUCAGAGACAUUGUCCGCGAUUACAGAGACGUAGUCCACGAUCACAGAGAGUCUUUGUACAAUGAAGAAGCUCUGUGAGACCAGGACAGAGGCCUCCAGGUGUCACCACUUUGUCCAUGACAUCGUCCAUGAUUGCAGAGACAUGGUCCAUGAUCGGAGAGACAUUGUUGAGGAUGAGGGAGACAUCGUCCACGAUCGGAGACAUUGUCCAUGACUCGUGGUGACUCGGUCCCCGAUAAGUCGGCAUUGCUGGCGUUCAGAGACAUUGUCGAUGAUCGCAGAGACUUUGUCCAUAAUCUCAGAGACAUUGUCCGCGAUCAGAGAGACGUAGUCCACGAUCUCAGAGACGUCCACGAUCACAGAGACAUGGUCCAUGAUCGGAGAGACAUUGUUGAGGAUG